CUGAUUCCAGUGUAAUUUUUAAACUGAACAGGACUAUGCUCUUAAGGUCAUCACCGAAGCCAAUGAAUCUUGGGCCAAACUAGUCAAGAGAUCAAUAUCCGCAGGAGAGCUGUCACUUGUAUAGAGCGGGAACUCCCGGUGCUUGAUCGGAGGGUCAUUCAACUUUGAUGGUUUGGACUCAAAUCCUAGGACUAUACUGUUUUUAAACCUGUUGCCAAAAUCUCCCUUUUCCCUUGCAGGAUCACAGAUUCCCUCUGCUUUACGUACAUAUUUGAAGGCCAAAACUUUCUUCAACCACAUCCACCCCUUAACAGUCAUCUGUUUCUGCCUCCUAAAAAUUCUUUACACUGAUUUGUACAUGGAAAGGAGACCAAAUGUGCAGUAAAAAUUUGAUACGGGACAAAAGUAUAAUUUAGG